AAUCUUAAAAAGAAGCAAAUCUGUCCAUUCUUGUUGUCUUGGCCAAAAUUGUGUCUUGUUGUUGUUUUGGCCGAGAUUUGUGCCUAGAUUUAGGUGUGUUUUGGUUGUAUUAGUUGUUUCUUGUGUUAUUUUGUUCUUACUUAACACCCCUUGAGUCUAAAGUCCAAGAUUUGAGCUCUUGUCAAAGUAUUGUUGAAGGGUGGACGGCUAAGAGGUUGUUAUUAUUCAUAUUGUUCUUGUUGUUGUUCAUAUUAUUCUUGAAGCAGUGUUCAACAAAAGAGUUGUUUGAUUUUUAAAAGAGAAGAGAGAGACAAGGCUUUGUGUUUGUCUUGGGAAUACUUUCAAGACAACACCAAAGUGGUAAAGAAACAAAGGGAAUCCAAAAAGCUUAAUUACUAAAAAGGUGACAAACAUCUUUCAAGAAAGGCC
rnacentral:lncRNA from 1 species